rnacentral:lncRNA from 1 species
CAAGAUAAAAAGAGAGUUCUAUGUUAUUACAAUUUCUAAAGAGUAAUAUAAAAGUUAUUUGACUUAAGAAAAGCUUUGUAAAGUCAACUUCUAGUAUCAGAGUCAAUUUCCAUCACAAUAUCUCUUAUUGUUUUAUUUCAAAAUGUCUAACAGCUUGGUCCAGCCUCAAAUUCCAAAAUUAUUGAAAGACAACUAUGAAUGGAGUAUUCAGAUGAAAGCAUUGAUUGAGUCUCAGGACCUAAUGGAGAUUGUAAUAGAUGGGUAAACAGAGUCCACUGCUGAACAAGGAGUUGAGUAUACAGCGGAACAGAAAUGUAAGACACCAACUUUAUAAAUAAAGAUGAAUUUUCUAUAAAUAUCAUUUUUAAAUACUAUGGAGUGAAUUUAAUAUAAUGUUAUAGCUGUGGAUAAUAUUUAUAAUUUUGCAAAUUACGCAAGUUGUCAUAAAAUAUUCGAUUGGUCGGAGAAUAUUCGUUUUAACAAGAAAUAUUCAUACGACGGCACAAUCAUUGGUGGACCCCACAACGGAAGUAUUGUCGUAGUUAGAAAACAACAGAAUUAUCUUUUUAUAAAAAUAACGGCGAAAGUGUUACCGUUAAAACUGUUGAACUACUCGGUAGUAAAAGUACAGUAAUAUGCGUGGUUGCAUAGUAGCACACGGUAUUGAUUAUUGAUGCUUACGUAAGAAGUCACUCAGUUAUACUCAAUAAUUGUUACAGUAAUUACUGUUCAAUAUUUUAUUUUAUUGAUUCAAUAAUUGCUGCGUUCAUAUUUUAUAUUAUUGGUGUUUCAAUAAUUGUCACUGCACAGUAUUUUUCAUUAUCAAAUCAAUAAUUCAUAUUAUUUGAAUAAUAUUAUUAGAUAGCAUUAUUGGCAAUGCUAGAAAGUUCUGUCAAUGAGAGGUUUGGUCACCUAAUUGCGUGCCAGUAAGGAGAAAUCUUUAUCGGAAAGCCUCCUCUUUCCUGGGAACGGCCUGGUUGUCAUUAUUGUGAUUCUGUAAUAAUAUUUGUGAAUAAUUAAUUAUUGAUUUAUAUGAUAAGGAAAUAUUUAUUUUAUGUAGACAUAAAUGAUGGAUAGGAAAAUAUUUAUUUUAUGUGGUUAUAAAUGAAGGAAUUAAUGUUGAGGUAUUUUAUCAGUAUUUUGUCGGAUUGGAGGUAUUAAAAAAUCAAAUCGGUGUUAUUAAAGCUCGAUUGCGUGAGUUAUAAUUUUAAUCCGACCGUUGAAUCGUUGUAAUUUUUGGAUAUGUUAUACAUAUAUAAGUUGAGUAUAUUUCCACAAAUUUUGAACCGUUAAAAAUUAACGUAUGAUUUGUUAUGAAUUUUAAAAGGUGUUAAAAAUCAUCCGUUUGUGAAUUUCAGAUAUUUUCUGUAUGGAAUUUGGAAAAACUUAAAGCUAUAAAGUUGUAGAGAAUUUGAUUUCGUGUGGAAUGGACAUAAAAUUCGUAUUUUUCUGAUAAAAGGGCUAUUUAUUAUGAAUUACUGAAGUUUCAGAAAAUAAAAUAAUUUUUAUUAAAAUUAGGUGCGACCCACUUUUGGUUGUUGGGAAAGAUGGCUGAUCAUUGGUGGGCCCCACUUGUGGUGGCUGAAAUUUUUCAAAAAAGCAUGCGUAGAAAAAAAAAUUAAAUUAAUAUUUUAUUAAUUUAGUCUCAUUUGGCGUUCUAGCAUUUUCCUAUAAAUAGGGUGCUUAGUUAGAAUUGAAAAUCACACCAGAAUCAGAAAAUUCUUCUUCUAUAAUCUUGAGCGUAUUUCUUUAGAGUUUUAGAAAGCUUUGAGCGUAGAAAACAGUGAAAAUUUUCUUCAAGAAUAUCCCCGCUAUACCAGUUGGAAUACUCUUCUUUUCAAGGUAAGGGAUGUUAUUUUUGUUCAAUAUUCGCUUGAAAUAAUAUUUUCUUCCAUACUCUGUAGUAUGUAAGUAAUAUUAUUUCGUUUCAGAUUUCAAAUUCUAUACUCGUUUUGUUAAAAUUUUGGCUUCUAUACUCCAUGAAAUUAGUAAAAUAUCCUUGAUAUUUGCGCUUCAUCCAGUAUCUUUUCAUGAAAAUAUUAUUCUGAGCAUUCUUGAUAAGUUUUAACUUUUUCAUGCCGGAGUACUAUUCACAGGAUUACUAUUCCUAAAGUACUAUUCACGGGGUAUUAUUCACUCGAGUACUAUUCACCCGGGGUACUAUUCAUGAUAAAAAUUGAUUCAUUUUCGGUCCAAAUUAUUUUUGGUAUAAUAUUAUUCUUGAAUUUUACUCCACAAAGCAGUAUCAUGUUGACAAUUUGGACGUUAUUGAUUUCUGGAUAAAUUAAAUUAUAAUCUUUAAAAAUUUAUCCUUGAACUUGUUUUAUUGAAUUUUUAUAUCAUUGUCAUCAUCCUCAUGUUUAUAUUCUGUUGAAAGUUAUCUGUGGCUUGUAGUGCAUAGAUGGACUUGGUAUGAUUAUGACCAGGGAUUAUUCGGUAUAAUCAUGACCGUAAUGUUACAAAUGAUGUGGUAAAAGUUUUCAUUGGCCUGUAGUGCAUCGAUGGACAGUUGUGUAUGGAUAAUUUGUGGUCGUGAUACUAAAGAAUAUCUUUGGCCGUAGUGCAAGGGUGAUUCGAUGAUGUGGAUUAUUUAUUAAGCUGAGUCUCAGCAAUAAAAGUGAUGAAAAACCUUUUAAAUCAUAGAAGGUAGUAAAUUUUAUUCUCUACUUGACUCUUCUAAUGGAUUGCUUGUUCCGAUGUAGUUAAACUUGAUGUUUGUUAUAUUUUAUCAGUUUAACACUGUUGAAGGCUAAUGAUAAUUUAUCCUGCAUUAUCUUAGUCAUAGUAUUUAUUACUGGCUAGUUGAGCUCACCCUUUUGAUUUCAUUGUCCUCUUCAGGAAAUGAGAACGUAGCCGGGACUAGGCGGGGAACGACGUGACGUUCCAGAUGAUAGCAUUAGUAGUCUUCACUAUUCUAUAAAAUAGUGUGAUAAUAAAUGUAUUGAGGACUCCAUUUGGGUUGAAUACUAUCUAGAAGACAAUAUUCGUAUUAAAAUUUCCAGUUUAUGUUUUGUCGUAUUUUACACGAUAGUUGUAUUAUUAAGUUGUAUUUGAAUUUUGUACCACGUAUUUGGCGACUCAAGAUGGGUGAUGUAUACCUAUUUUGGGGGCGUCACAGUUGGUAUCAAAGCUUAGGGAUAUGAUCUCUGGCUGAGUUGUGAGACAAGAUCUAGGAGGGGAGAGACGGGGAAUUCCUUCGUUAGUAUGACCUACCUAAGUUUAUUUGGUAUUUAAUUGGUCGGUCAGAGUAUAAGGAUAAUAUGUGACAUGUAAAUUAACCCUUGUUUUGUGGCAGUAUUUGAAAAUGACAUCUGAGAAUGUUGAGAAUAGCAAUGAAGCACAAGAGACCGUUGAGUCUCCACAGAUCAACAAUCAGGAUAAUGUGCAUCAGGAAGGCAAUAAUCCUCAUGCAAACAAUAACAUAGACCAAAUGAUGAACGAGGGAAUGUUCAGAGGCUUUCUGCAAUUCAUGCAACAUCAGGCAAGAGAGACUCCUGUCCGAAAUGCAGGUGGAAACACUGGCAACUCUCGAACGGUCACUGCUAAACAGUUCAAGGAGCUGGGACCAUUAGAGUUUUUUGAAAAGCCAAAACCACUUAAUGCGGAGACAUGGAUAAAGCAGAUCAACAAGAUAUUUGAUGUAUUGGGAUGCUCCGAGGAGCAAAAGGUUCCCUUUGCCACCUUCAUGUUGCGGGCAGAGACAGAUUACUGGUGGGACUCUAUAAAGCGUACUCAACCUGCCAUACUGAAGAUGUCUUGGGAAAAGUUCCAAGAACUGUUCAACAACAAGUACUUUCCCGAAAGUAUUCGUCACAUGAAAGAGGUAGAGUUUAUUAAACUGUAGCAAAACAACAUGACCGUGUCGCAAUACGAAGCCAAGUUUGCCGAGUUGUCCCGGUUUGCGUCCUAUUUAGUUGAUAAUGAAGAGAGAAUGACGCGAAUGUUUCUAAGAUGUUUGAAACCCGAGAUACGUAAAUACCUUAUCUCUCAUAAACUGUGUUUGUAUUCAGAUGUUGUGAAUAGGGCUCAGUUAUUAGAGCGCGAUAAUGAGUCAACCUAACCAAGAGAGAGCAACCGGAAAAAUGAUAAUACCAGUGGUAGCAGUCAUCGAAGUGGUGACAACAAGCGUGGAAGGAAUUAACAGGCCAGAAAUGGUAACCACUUCGGUGAUAAUCAUGGCUAAGAUAAUAAGAAUGGAAAUUUCAAGAAGAGGAGAUUCAACAAUUAUGGAAAGACGUCAGCAUCAGCACCCGUUGUUAAGGAAGGAGAACGACCACCUAUCAUAUGCUUCAAAUACGGAGGGGAGGGACAUAUCAGUCCAAACUGCGCGAUACAGUCCAAAGCGUGUUACAAUUGUGGAAGAGAAGGUCACCUAGCCCGAUUUUGUCAUUCACCGAAGACAAGUCCAGCUGGGAUGGAGGCACUAAAGGCCGUCCCAGAAAAGUCAAAGCUGGUAGUUCAAGGGAGAACAUUUUCCGUGACAUCCCAGAAAGCAAGAAACCCGAACGAGGUCAUCACGGGUAAGCUUAUCAUAAACUCUAGCGAAGUUUAUACCUUAUUUGAUAUCGGUUCUACCCAUUCUUUUAUUUCUCCUAGUUGCGCUCAACGUUUAAAUUUGACUCUGCAGAAAUUAGACUUUGACUUAUCUGUUGAAACUCUGUUGGGAGAAACCUUCAUUACAUCCAUUGUUUAUAAGUCUUGUUUGGUUCAAAUCGGUACCCUCACAUUAACUGUCGAUCUUAUUUCAUUGAAAAUACUUGCAUUUGACAUAAUUCUAGGGAUUGAUUGGUUAACUACUCAUCAUGCAAAAAUUGAUUAUAUUCGUAAGGUUGUUAGCUUUAAUAUUCCUAACCAACCUAUUAUGAGAAUUCAAGCAACCAAACCAUUAAAAUCAAUCACUGUCAUCUCAAGAUUCUUCUUCUCAUUAUAUAUACGUGCACAUGACAUAUAUAUUUUGCAUCAAUCCAAAUUGAACACCAAAUCUCAACCCCCAGAUACACAAUUGCUAGCUCAAAGGAAAAAAAAAUAUGAAAUGAAAAAAGUGCUUCUUUAAGGAUUUUCAUCGCCUAAACUAAUAAGAGCAGCUUCAUCAUGAUAAUAAUUCAACCAAUCACCUCUGCUGCCCCAUCAUCUUCGUGA